rnacentral:rRNA from 1 species
AGAGUUUGAUCCUGGCUCAGGACGAACGCUGGCGGCGCGCCUAACACAUGCAAGUCGAACGAGCAAAGAGGAGCUUGCUUCUCUGAGCGAGUGGCGAACGGGUGAGUAACGCGUGAGGAACCUGCCUCAAAGAGGGGGACAACAGUUGGAAACGACUGCUAAUACCGCAUAAGCCCACGGGUCGGCAUCGACCAGAGGGAAAAGGAGCAAUCCGCUUUGAGAUGGCCUCGCGUCCGAUUAGCUAGUUGGUGAGGUAACGGCCCACCAAGGCGACGAUCGGUAGCCGGACUGAGAGGUUGAACGGCCACAUUGGGACUGAGACACGGCCCAGACUCCUACGGGAGGCAGCAGUGGGGAAUAUUGCACAAUGGGGGAAACCCUGAUGCAGCGACGCCGCGUGGAGGAAGAAGGUCUUCGGAUUGUAAACUCCUGUUGUUGAGGAAGAUAAUGACGGUACUCAACAAGGAAGUGACGGCUAACUACGUGCCAGCAGCCGCGGUAAAACGUAGGUCACAAGCGUUGUCCGGAAUUACUGGGUGUAAAGGGAGCGCAGGCGGGAAGACAAGUUGGAAGUGAAAUCCAUGGGCUCAACCCAUGAACUGCUUUCAAAACUGUUUUUCUUGAGUAGUGCAGAGGUAGGCGGAAUUCCCGGUGUAGCGGUGGAAUGCGUAGAUAUCGGGAGGAACACCAGUGGCGAAGGCGGCCUACUGGGCACCAACUGACGCUGAGGCUCGAAAGUGUGGGUAGCAAACAGGAUUAGAUACCCUGGUAGUCCACACCGUAAACGAUGAUUACUAGGUGUUGGAGGAUUGACCCCUUCAGUGCCGCAGUUAACACAAUAAGUAAUCCACCUGGGGAGUACGACCGCAAGGUUGAAACUCAAAGGAAUUGACGGGGGCCCGCACAAGCAGUGGAGUAUGUGGUUUAAUUCGACGCAACGCGAAGAACCUUACCAAGUCUUGACAUCCUGCGACGGUGCUGGAAACAGUACUUUCCUUCGGGACGCAGAGACAGGUGGUGCAUGGUUGUCGUCAGCUCGUGUCGUGAGAUGUUGGGUUAAGUCCCGCAACGAGCGCAACCCUUAU